UAAGGAAUAUUGCUCAAUGGGAGAAAUCCUGAAGCAGCAACGCCGCGUGGAGGAUGAAGGGUCUAUGACUUGUAAACUCCUGUAAAGAAGGAAAAAAUUCCCAUUAGAUGGGAGAUGAUGGUACUUCUGGAGUAAGCCCCGGCUAACUACGUGCCAGCAGCCGCGGUAAUACGUAGGGGGCAAGCGUUGUCCGGAUUUACUGGGUGUAAAGGGUGCUCAGGCGGAUUUGUAAGUCAGAGGUGAAAUCUUACAGCUUAACUGUGAAACUGCCUUUGAUACUGCAAGCCUAGAGUAUGGAAGAGAGUGAUUGAAUAUCUGGUGUAGCAGGGAAAUGCGUAGAUAUCAGAUAGAACACCAAUGGCGAAGGCAGUCACUUGGUCCAUUACUGACGCUAAAGCACGACAGCGUGGGUAGC
rnacentral:rRNA from 1 species